rnacentral:tRNA from 1 species
CAUAGGUUUGGUCCUGGCCCUACUGUUAAUUG